CCUACGGGAGACAGCAGUGAGGAAUAUUGGUCAAUGGGCGAGAGCCUGAACCAGCCAAGUCGCGUGAAGGAUGACGGCCCUACGGGUUGUAAACUUCUUUUGUCAGGGAGCAAUUGAGUCCACGUGUGGUCUUAGCGAGAGUACCUGAAGAAAAAGCAUCGGCUAACACCGUGCCAGCAGCCGCGGUAAUACGGAGGAUGCGAGCGUUAUCCGGAUUUAUUGGGGUAAAGGGGUGCGUAGGCGGAAUAUCAAGUCAGCGGUAAAAAUUCGGGGUUCAACCCCGUAGUGCCGUUGAAACUGAUGUUCUUGAGUGGGCGAGAAGCAUGCGGAAUGCGUGGUGUAGCGGUGAAAUGCAUAGAUAUCACGCAGAACCCCGAUUGCGAAGGCAGCAUACCGGCGCUCAACUGACGCUGAGGCACGAAAGCGUGGGGAUCGAACAGGAUUAGAUACCCGUGUAGUC
rnacentral:rRNA from 1 species